rnacentral:rRNA from 1 species
UUUUGUGUUCAUGCUCAGCUUUGCUUAGUACUUGUAUGGGGGACCACCUGGGAAUACCAGGUGGCACUCGGG